CCUAAUUAGUCCUGUAAGUCACUCUGGAUAAGAGUGUCUGCUAAAUUACUAACA
rfam:Salmo salar isolate Sally breed double haploid chromosome ssa15, whole genome shotgun sequence.